rnacentral:rRNA from 1 species
CCUUGUACACACCGCCCGUCGCGGCAUGGGAGUUGGUUUUACCCGAAGACGGUGCGCUAACCGCAAGGAGGCAGCCGGCCACGGUAGGAUCAGCGACUGGGCCG